UAGGGAAUAUUGGACAAUGGGGGCAACCCUGAUCCAGCCGUGCCGCGUGAGUGAAGAAGGCCCUCGGGUUGUAAAGCUCUUUUGUCCGGAAAGAAAAGCUUCGGGUUAAUACCCCGGGGUUCUGACGGUACCGGAAGAAUAAGCACCGGCUAACUUCGUGCCAGCAGCCGCGGUAAUACGGAGGGUGCAAGCGUUACUCGGAAUUACUGGGCGUAAAGCGUGCGUAGGUGGUUGUUUAAGUCUGAUGUGAAAGCCCUGGGCUCAGCCUGGGAAUGGCAUUGGAAACUGGGCCGCUAGAGUGCGGUAGAGGGUAGUGGAAUUCCCGGUGUAGCAGUGAAAUGCGUAGAGAUCGGGAGGAACAUCUGUGGCGAAGGCGACUGCCUGGACCAGCACUGACACUGAGGCACGAAAGCGUGGGGAGCAAACA
rnacentral:rRNA from 1 species